GCCUAGUUAGCUCAGUUGGCAGAGCAUCCGGCUGUUAACCGGCAGGUCGUAGGUUCGAGCCCUACACUAGGCGCCA
rnacentral:tRNA from 2 species